GGGCCCUUAGCUCAGCCGGUUAGAGCAGCGGACUCAUAAUCCGUAGGUCGUGGGUUCAAGUCCCACAGGGCCCA
rnacentral:tRNA from 1 species